AGAGUCUGCUGACUGUGUCCCCAUGGAGGGUCACUUGGGAGGAAAGAUGGCAGGGAGCAGAGAGCCAAGGAGACUCUCCCUCACUUGGAUUGGUUCCUAGGAGAGUUUGGUUCAGUGCGGGAGGCCCAGCUGAAGCAAGAGGAUGGCUCCUUUGUGAAAGUGGCUGUGAAGAUGCUGAAAGCUGACAUCAUUGCCUCAAGCGACAUUGAAGAGUUCCUCAGGGAAGCAGCUUGCAUGAAGGAGUUUGACCAUCCACACGUGGCCAAACUUGUUGGGGUAAGCCUCCGGAGCAGGGCUAAAGGCCGUCUCCCCAUCCCCAUGGUCAUCUUGCCCUUCAUGAAGCAUGGGGACCUGCACGCCUUCCUGCUCGCCUCCCGGAUUGGGGAGAACCCCUUUAACCUACCCCUCCAGACCCUGAUCCGGUUCAUGGUGGACAUUGCCUGCGGCAUGGAGUACCUGAGCUCUCGGAACUUCAUCCACCGAGACCUGGCCGCUCGGAAUUGCAUGCUGGCAGAGGACAUGACAGUGUGUGUGGCUGACUUCGGACUCUCCCGAAAGAUCUACAGUGGGGACUAC
rnacentral:sRNA from 1 species